AAAUCUCAAUUAGGGGAUUGAAUUUGUCAAAACAUGCAUUUUCUUUUGUUGCCUUUCAGCUGUUUCAAGUAUGAACAAUUUGCCGCAAAUAAUUAGUUCUGAUAUGAUGUAUUUCAUCUAGGCGAGCACUGAACCACAACAUAACAGUUAACUAGCUUAUUCUGUAUACCAAGUUUGGAAGGGAAAGGAGGAAGAACCAGUAUGCCAAGUUCUGGAAGAAGGGCCUGUAUGCCAAGUCCCUCCCUUCCUGCAGUUCUGGAAGAAUGGCCAGUAUGCCAAGUUCUGGAAGUAGAAGGGCCAGUAUGCCAAGGUUUGGAAUGAGUUUGGAAAAUCGAUCAAGCUGGGCAUCAUCGAAGAUGCAACUAACAGGAACCACCUUGCCAAGCUUCUUAGAUUUGAAAGCUUCAUCCUUCAUACCAAGUCUGAUGGCAAACUCGCCUCUCUUGACGAGUACAUUUCAAGGAUGAAGCCAGGGCAGAAAGACAUCUUCUACAUUUCAAGGAUGUCAAAUAGAUGCAUUGUUGUAUUAAAAAAAUUACAACCGUGCCCUCAGUUGAGGCAGGGAUAGGAAUUGUAAAGGAUAAAUGCUGAUUGAUUGAAAUGGUACAUACCUCUUCCCAUAAUUGUAGCUCUGCAGUUGAGGAUUUCUAUUUCAACAUGUCUGUGUAUAGCUAUACACAUUGUGAUUCCUAAUUACAUGCACCGUGAAUGCAAUUUCUGGUACAAUUA